CAGCUGUCGUCCCUCCCCCUACAGACACACAGCCAAUCAUGUGUCUAUGUAGGCACCUGUGAGGCACGGUGGUUAAGGUACAGAGGUUGAGGGUUCUCCUGGGUUCUCACCUCCUCUACAGACAUGGAGCUCUUCACCGAUACGAUCUGAGCGCAGCCGUGAGAUCUCAGGUUGUCCAGCAGGUCACAGCGGUCGAACGCAAACUCCUGAUGAACAGAGAGAAGAAACAUCAGCACGUCUCAGGGUGUCCAGAAAUACUGGGACGCCCCAAGCUCAUGACCAGGCGUCCGAAUACUUUUGACCAUGUAGCGUAUGUGUAGAGGUAGGUAUGAGCUGGUGAGCUCACCUCAUCAGGGCAGUAAGCACAGCCGACCCCGGACUGUAGACAUGCUGAACAUGUCUUCGAUUUACUCGCCACGCAGUGAUUCACUGAAAUAUAAAUAAAUUAAUCAGAAAUCAUCAUCAAAA